GGGGGGAUAGUAUAGGUAGUAGAUGCGCCUGGUGGCCACGCAAGGCCGUGGGUUCGAAUCCUACUCCCUUUA